GACGAACGCUGGCGGCGUGCUUAACACAUGCAAGUCGAACGGAAAGGCCAUGCUUUUGUGGGGUGCUCGAGUGGCGAACGGGUGCGUAACACGUGAGUAACCUGCCCUUGCCUUUGGGAUAACUUCAGGAAACUGGGGCAAAUACCGGCUAGGAGCUCCUGCUGCUUGUUGGGGGUUGGAAAGUUUAGGCGGUUGGGGAUGGACGCGCGGCCUAUCAGAUUGUUGGUGGGGUAGUGGCUUAGCAAGGAUUUGACGGGUCGCCGGACUGAGAGGGUGACACGCCACAUUGGGACUGAGAUACGGCCCAGAGGCCUACGGGAGGAAGCAGUGGGGAAUAUUGCGCAAUGGGCGGAGGCCUGAUGCAGCAACGCCGCGUGCGGGAUGACGGCCUUCGGGUUGUAAACCGUUUUAGCCUGUGACGAAGCGUGAGUGACGGUAAUGGGUAAAGAAGCACCGGCUAACUACGUG
rnacentral:rRNA from 1 species